CAGGUAAGUCUAUGCCCUCUGUAGCAGGGUGUUUUACAGUGUUCCAUAAACAGAUCUUGUGUUACCAGAUCAUAGCAAAGAAAGAACACUUGGCCAUGGGACACCAGGGUGAGUAGGUAUCAAGUGAGCUAUCUAUGAAUAGCUCAAUUUUGUCAUACUUGUCAAGUGAUAAAAUCAGAUGUUCUCAGCAGUCCACAGUAAAACAGAGAUGGUAUAUCUGAGACAGAUUUCAAGCAGGACCAGUGAGUUUAGAAGGAUGAAAGAUAUCAAGCUGCAGAUUCAAGAAGUUUUAUGAAGCAUGUUACACAGAGUGCACUGGCAACUGGAAGAUAAGAAGGGAAGAAGACUUAUUACAUAAGUUAUUUAUGGACUCUCUCAAUCAUAUUACUUAUAGGAUAAGGAUGAUUCAGAAAGUAGUCUGGGAAAUAGGAUAGCCAUAAACUUCAAUAGACUACUUACUGUAUUAUCUCAUCUAACUCAACAGUAGUGUAGACAUUAUAGUAUUUUUUCUUCUAAGUUCCAAAUGAGAAAGAAUGAGUAAUGUUUAUUUUCUCAAGUUCACACAGUUGCAUGGACUCCAACUGCAAUCCAUGUUUGUUUGACAUAACAGCCCAAACUCUAAACUAUUCCAUUCUGCAACAUUUCAAACAUGUGAACAUAUAAAUUUAUUUUUAGUCCCCCAAAAUGAUGGCUUUCAAGAUCUAUCAUUUCACAAAUAUUAUUAUGUAUCCACAUAAGUACUAUAUUUUUUUUUAAUUCAUUCACAUAUCCAUUAAUUCCGCAUACAUUUAGUACCUUCAAUGACCUACAUACUUUCAGGCAUUUGAGUUACAUUAGUGGCAACAACCGUAAAGGGUCUUAGAUUUUUCCCUACAUGGAAGCUCAUCAGUUAACCUGCCAUGAUUUCAUAGAGAAGGUUAAGAAACAAAUCCUGGACCAAAGAUAAAGAAAGGUUUUAUUCACAGCACAGCAGGCAAUAUAAAUGUGUGUUGGCACCAGUUCCCCUUACCCCGUCAUCCAUACAGAGUGGGAAUGACUUCAGAGGAUUCUCUGCACACAGUGGAUUUGCAUCACUCCUGAAAAGCUGAAUAUUAGUAACGUCCAAUAUUUUAUGAUAGGAUGCCAGCAAACAUGGCCAGGCCAACUUAUGACCUGCAGAGAGAGACUAUAUUUAUUAUACACAAAAACUUGCCCCUCCACUUUCAAGGGAGAUACUGUGAUUUCUUCCACGAGUGUUUGCCAUACAAAAAUCCUUGAAAAGAUAAUCCAGAUUAAAAGGCUAUAGUACCUGUGCUUAAAAGAAGUGCAAAAAAGAAAAUGACCUGUUGAGAACUCAAUAAUUAAUGGACAAAAUUCUUUCUUGUGAAGCUUACGCUCUAAGACAAAAAAGCAAAUAUAAUAAGUUUUUCGAUUAAAUGUGAAUGCCAGAGGGAAAAAAGAGUAGAUAAAGGAGACUGGGAGAUUUAGGGAGUGCAAUGUAAAUUUUGGUUGAUCAGAGUAGGCCCAGAUGAGAAUGCAUGAUGGACAAAGAAUUAAAGCCUUGCAGGAAAAAUUUUUCAUGAAUACAGCAUUUUCACUUGCUUUUGUAUUAAUUUUGCUGUUCUUGGGAAAAAUGAAUUCACCUAAAAUAAAACGUGUUCAUAAUUUUGUUGAUUGUAGGUCAAGACCUCACAGGAGAAUGAUUAAGAAUAUAGAAGAGGAGACCUCUCUUAACCAGCAUUUUCAUAUAUGAAGUUUACUAGAGAUAGGAUUAUAUACAUAUAUUUGGGGUUUGAUUAACAGUUACAUUCAAGUCCUCCAAACAUUGCUCUGGUAAAGCAAUUUUGAAUUCC